GGAGAAGUCGCCUAGUUGGUCGAGGGCGCACGACUGGAAAUCGUGUAGGCGUUAAAAGCGCCUCCAGAGUUCGAAUCUCUGCUUCUCCGCCA
rnacentral:tRNA from 2 species